CCUACGGGGAGCAGCAGUAGGGAAUUUUCGUCAAUGGGCGCAAGCCUGAACGAGCAAUGCCGCGUGAACGAGGAAGGUCUUCGGAUCGUAAAGUUCUGUUGAAGGGGAAAAAGAGCAGAGAGAGGAAAUGGUCUCCGAUUGAUAUUACCCUUCGAGGAAGUCACGGCUAACUACGUGCCAGCAGCCGCGGUAAUACGUAGGUGGCGAGCGUUAUCCGGAAUGAUUGGGCGUAAAGGGUGCGUAGGCGGCCUGCUAAGUCUGGAGUGAAAGGUACCGGCUCAACCGGUACAGGCUCUGGAAACUGGCGGGCUAGAGAGCAGGAGAGGGCGGUGGAACUCCAUGUGUAGCGGUAAAAUGCGUAGAUAUAUGGAAGAACACCAGUGGCGAAGGCGGCCGCCUGGCCUGUUACUGACGCUGAGGCACGAAAGCGUGGGGAGCAAAUAGGAUUAGAUACCCGGGUAGUC
rnacentral:rRNA from 1 species